rnacentral:rRNA from 1 species
UAGAGUUUGAUCCUGGCUCAGGAUGAACGCUGGCGGUGUGCGUAACACAUGCAAGUUGAGCGACGCAGUUCUGGAAGCGGAGACGUGGAAGGGGCUAACGGAGCGGCGGACGGGUGAGUAAGACAUGAGAAGCUGUCCUAUACUGGGGGACAACGUUUGGAAACGGACGCUAAUACCCCAUAGGCUGAGAAGUUAAAGCGGAGACGUGGUAUAGGAGGUGCUCGUGACCUAUCAGCUAGUUGGUGAGGCAAGGGCUCACCAAGGCGACGACGGGUAGCCGGCCUGAGAGGGUGUCCGGCCACACUGGGACUGAGAUACGGCCCAGACUCCUACGGGAGGCAGCAGUGGGGAAUAUUGGGCAAUGGGAGGAAUCCUGACCCAGCGACACCGCGUGAACGAAGAAGGUUUUCGGAUCGUAAAGUUCUUUUAUGCGGGAAGAAGGAAGUGACGGUACCGCAUGAAUAAGCCCCGGCUAACUACGUGCC